rnacentral:rRNA from 1 species
GUCCACGCCGUAAACGAUGUCGACUAGCCGUUGGGCCCUUUUAGGGUUUAGUGGCGCAGCUAACGCAUUAAGUCGACCGCCUGGGGAGUACGGCCGCAAGGUUAAAACUCAAAUGAAUUGACGGGGCCCGCACAAGCGGUGGAGCAUGUGGUUUAAUUCGAUGCAACGCGAAGAACCUUACCUACCCUUGACAUGUCUGAAAUCCCUGAGAGAUUGGGGAGUGCCUUCGGGAAUCAGAACACAGGUGCUGCAUGGCUGUCGU